rnacentral:rRNA from 1 species
CUACGGGGUGCACCAGGCGAGAAAACUUUGCAAUGUGCGAAAGCACGACAAGGUUAAUCCGAGUGGUUUCUGCUAAAGGAACCUUUUGUCAGUCCUAGAAACACUGAUGAAUAAGGGGUGGGCAAGUUCUGGUGUCAGCCGCCGCGGUAAAACCAGCACCUCAAGUGGUCAGGAUGAUUAUUGGGCCUAAAGCAUCCGUAGCUGCUUUGUUAGUUUUCGGUUAAAUCCAUACGCUCAACGUAUGGGCUGCCGGGAAUACUGCAAAGCUAGGGAGUGGGAGAGGUAGACGGUACUCGGUAGGAAGGGGUAAAAUCCUUUGAUCUAUUGAUGACCACCUGUGGCGAAGGCGGUCUACCAGAACACGUCCGACGGUGAGGGAUGAAAGCUGGGGGAGCAAACCGGAUUAGAUACCCCCGUAGUC